UUUACCGAUUGGUACGGAACAACCCAGAGAAAUUUGGGCUAAUACCGUAUGUGCCCGUAAGGAAAGAUUUAUCGCCAAUCGAUGAGCCCGCGUUGGAUUAGCUAGAUGGUGAGGUAAGAGCUUACCAUGGCGACGAUCCAUAGCUGGUCUGAGAGGAUGAUCAGCCACACUGGGACUGAGACACGGCCCAGACUCCUACGGGAGGCAGCAGUGGGGAAUAUUGGACAAUGGGGGCAACCCUGAUCCAGCCAUGCCGCGUGAGUGAUGAAGGCCCUAGGGUUGUAAAGCUCUUUCAGUCAUGAGGAUAAUGACGUUAAUGACAGAAGAAGCCCCGGCUAACUUCGUGCCAGCAGCCGCGGUAAUACGAAGGGGGCUAGCGUUGUUCGGAAUCACUGGGCGUAAAGCGCACGUAGGCGGACUUUUAAGUCAGGGGUGAAAUCCUGAGGCUUAACCUCGGAACUGCCUUCAAUACUGCCAGUCUUGAGAUCGGAAGAGGUGAGUGGAAUUCCUAGUGUAGAGGUGAAAUUCGUAGAUAUUAGGAAGAACACCAGUGGCGAAGGGGCUCACUGGUCCGAUACUGACGCUGAGGUGCGAAAGGUGGGGAGCGAACAGGAUUAGAUACCCUGGUAGUCCACGCCGUAAACGAUGGAUGCUAGCCGUCGGACAGUAUACUGUUCGGUGGCG
rnacentral:rRNA from 1 species